GCUAAUACCGCAUAAUGCCUACGGGCCAAAGAGGGGGACCUUCGGGCCUCUCGCGUCAAGAUAUGCCUAGGUGGGAUUAGCUGGUUGGUGAGGUAAUGGCUCACCAAGGCGACGAUCCCUAGCUGGUCUGAGAGGAUGAUCAGCCACACUGGAACUGAGACACGGUCCAGACUCCUACGGGAGGCAGCAGUGGGGAAUAUUGCACAAUGGGCGAAAGCCUGAUGCAGCCAUGCCGCGUGUAUGAAGAAGGCCUUCGGGUUGUAAAGUACUUUCAGUUGUGAGGAAGGGGGUAGCGUUAAUAGCGCUAUCUCUUGACGUUAGCAACAGAAGAAGCACCGGCUAACUCCGUGCCAGCAGCCGCGGUAAUACGGAGGGUGCGAGCGUUAAUCGGAAUUACUGGGCGUAAAGCGCAUGCAGGUGGUUCAUUAAGUCAGAUGUGAAAGCCCGGGGCUCAACCUCGGAACUGCAUUUGAAACUGGUGAACUAGAGUACUGUAGAGGGGGGUAGAAUUUCAGGUGUAGCGGUGAAAUGCGUAGAGAUCUGAAGGAAUACCAGUGGCGAAGGCGGCCCCCUGGA
rnacentral:rRNA from 1 species